GGCGACAAACAUGACUGUGGAGUCGAGGGGUUCAUUUUGAUUUUGUUGUUCUAGGAAUGCUGAACAGCAUAGGAUCCUGUGGAAGAUUCCGGAUAUUUCCCAGAAAUCCGAAAAUGGAGGCGUGGGCUCCUUGUUGGCCCGUUUCCAGCUGUCGGAGGGUCCUAGCAAGCCCUCUCCCCUGGCCGUGCAGUUCACCAGCGAGGGCUGCACCCUCUCAGGCUGCGACAUCGAGCUGGCCGGCCCCGGUUACCGCUUCUCCCUCAUCAAGAAGAGGUUUGCUGCAGGAAAAUACUUGGCAGACAACUAACCCACGCUACUGAACAACACUACUGAAUACAUACACUGAAGAUCGUCUCAUCGGGCCAAGAGUGACAUAGACAAGAACAGUGGAGCCAAUACCCUAACCACCGCACUACAGACACACCCCGCUACAGACACACCUCGCUACAGACACACCUCGCUACAGACACACCCCGCUACAGACACACCCCACUACAGACACACCCCGC